GAUGAACGCUGGCGGCGUGCCUAAUACAUGCAAGUCGAGCGUACGGACGAGAAGCUUGCAUCUCUGAUGUUAGCGGCGGACGGGUGAGUAACACGUGGAUAACCUACCUAUAAGACUGGGAUAACUUCGGGAAACCGGAGCUAAUACCGGAUAAUAUUUUGAACCGCAUGGUUCAAAAGUGAAAGACGGUCUUGCUGUCACUUAUAGAUGGAUCCGCGCUGCAUUAGCUAGUUGGUAAGGUAACGGCUUACCAAGGCAACGAUGCAUAGCCGACCUGAGAGGGUGAUCGGCCACACUGGAACUGAGACACGGUCCAGACUCCUACGGGAGGCAGCAGUAGGGAAUCUUCCGCAAUGGGCGAAAGCCUGACGGAGCAACGCCGCGUGAGUGAUGAAGGUCUUCGGAUCGUAAAACUCUGUUAUUAGGGAAGAACAUAUGUGUAAGUAACUGUGCACAUCUUGACGGUACCUAAUCAGAAAGCCACGGCUAACUACGUGC
rnacentral:rRNA from 1 species